rnacentral:rRNA from 1 species
GUUUGAUCCUGGCUCAGAUUGAACGCUGGCGGCAUGCCUUACACAUGCAAGUCGAACGGCAGCACGGGUGCUUGCACCUGGUGGCGAGUGGCGAACGGGUGAGUAAUACAUCGGAACAUGUCCUGUAGUGGGGGAUAGCCCGGCGAAAGCCGGAUUAAUACCGCAUACGAUCUACGGAUGAAAGCGGGGGACCUUCGGGCCUCGCGCUAUAGGGUUGGCCGAUGGCUGAUUAGCUAGUUGGUGGGGUAAAGGCCUACCAAGGCGACGAUCAGUAGCUGGUCUGAGAGGACGACCAGCCACACUGGGACUGAGACACGGCCCAGACUCCUACGGGAGGCAGCAGUGGGGAAUUUUGGACAAUGGGCGAAAGCCUGAUCCAGCAAUGCCGCGUGUGUGAAGAAGGCCUUCGGGUUGUAAAGCACUUUUGUCCGGAAAGAAAUCCUUGGUUCUAAUAUAGCCGGGGGAUGACGGUACCGGAAGAAUAAGCACCGGCUAACUACGUGCCAGCAGCCGCGGUAAUACGUAGGGUGCGAGCGUUAAUCGGAAUUACUGGGCGUAAAGCGUGCGCAGGCGGUUUGCUAAGACCGAUGUGAAAUCCCCGGGCUCAACCUGGGAACUGCAUUGGUGACUGGCAGGCUAGAGUAUGGCAGAGGGGGGUAGAAUUCCACGUGUAGCAGUGAAAUGCGUAGAGAUGUGGAGGAAUACCGAUGGCGAAGGCAG